UUAAGCGACUAAGCGUACACGGUGGAUGCCCUGGCAGUCAGAGGCGAUGAAGGACGUGCUAAUCUGCGAUAAGCGUCGGUAAGGUGAUAUGAACCGUUAUAACCGGCGAUUUCCGAAUGGGGAAACCCAGUGUGUUUCGACACACUAUCAUUAACUGAAUCCAUAGGUUAAUGAGGCGAACCGGGGGAACUGAAACAUCUAAGUACCCCGAGGAAAAGAAAUCAACCGAGAUUCCCCCAGUAGCGGCGAGCGAACGGGGAGCAGCCCAGAGCCUGAAUCAGUGUGUGUGUUAGUGGAAGCGUCUGGAAAGGCGCGCGAUACAGGGUGACAGCCCCGUACACAAAAAUGCACAUGCUGUGAGCUCGAUGAGUAGGGCGGGACACGUGGUAUCCUGUCUGAAUAUGGGGGGACCAUCCUCCAAGGCUAAAUACUCCUGACUGACCGAUAGUGAACCAGUACCGUGAGGGAAAGGCGAAAAGAACCCCGGCGAGGGGAGUGAAAAAGAACCUGAAACCGUGUACGUACAAGCAGUGGGAGCACGCUUAGGCGUGUGACUGCGUACCUUUUGUAUAAUGGGUCAGCGACUUAUAUUCUGUAGCAAGGUUAACCGAAUAGGGGAGCCGAAGGGAAACCGAGUCUUAACUGGGCGUUAAGUUGCAGGGUAUAGACCCGAAACCCGGUGAUCUAGCCAUGGGCAGGUUGAAGGUUGGGUAACACUAACUGGAGGACCGAACCGACUAAUGUUGAAAAAUUAGCGGAUGACUUGUGGCUGGGGGUGAAAGGCCAAUCAAACCGGGAGAUAGCUGGUUCUCCCCGAAAGCUAUUUAGGUAGCGCCUCGUGAAUUCAUCUCCGGGGGUAGAGCACUGUUUCGGCAAGGGGGUCAUCCCGACUUACCAACCCGAUGCAAACUGCGAAUACCGGAGAAUGUUAUCACGGGAGACACACGGCGGGUGCUAACGUCCGUCGUGAAGAGGGAAACAACCCAGACCGCCAGCUAAGGUCCCAAAGUCAUGGUUAAGUGGGAAACGAUGUGGGAAGGCCCAGACAGCCAGGAUGUUGGCUUAGAAGCAGCCAUCAUUUAAAGAAAGCGUAAUAGCUCACUGGUCGAGUCGGCCUGCGCGGAAGAUGUAACGGGGCUAAACCAUGCACCGAAGCUGCGGCAGCGACACUGUGUGUUGUUGGGUAGGGGAGCGUUCUGUAAGCCUGUGAAGGUGUGCUGUGAGGCAUGCUGGAGGUAUCAGAAGUGCGAAUGCUGACAUAAGUAACGAUAAAGCGGGUGAAAAGCCCGCUCGCCGGAAGACCAAGGGUUCCUGUCCAACGUUAAUCGGGGCAGGGUGAGUCGACCCCUAAGGCGAGGCCGAAAGGCGUAGUCGAUGGGAAACAGGUUAAUAUUCCUGUACUUGGUGUUACUGCGAAGGGGGGACGGAGAAGGCUAUGUUGGCCGGGCGACGGUUGUCCCGGUUUAAGCGUGUAGGCUGGUUUUCCAGGCAAAUCCGGAAAAUCAAGGCUGAGGCGUGAUGACGAGGCACUACGGUGCUGAAGCAACAAAUGCCCUGCUUCCAGGAAAAGCCUCUAAGCAUCAGGUAACAUCAAAUCGUACCCCAAACCGACACAGGUGGUCAGGUAGAGAAUACCAAGGCGCUUGAGAGAACUCGGGUGAAGGAACUAGGCAAAAUGGUGCCGUAACUUCGGGAGAAGGCACGCUGAUAUGUAGGUGAAGCGACUUGCUCGUGGAGCUGAAAUCAGUCGAAGAUACCAGCUGGCUGCAACUGUUUAUUAAAAACACAGCACUGUGCAAACACGAAAGUGGACGUAUACGGUGUGACGCCUGCCCGGUGCCGGAAGGUUAAUUGAUGGGGUCAGCGCAAGCGAAGCUCUUGAUCGAAGCCCCGGUAAACGGCGGCCGUAACUAUAACGGUCCUAAGGUAGCGAAAUUCCUUGUCGGGUAAGUUCCGACCUGCACGAAUGGCGUAAUGAUGGCCAGGCUGUCUCCACCCGAGACUCAGUGAAAUUGAACUCGCUGUGAAGAUGCAGUGUACCCGCGGCAAGACGGAAAGACCCCGUGAACCUUUACUAUAGCUUGACACUGAACAUUGAGCCUUGAUGUGUAGGAUAGGUGGGAGGCUUAGAAGUGUGGACGCCAGUCUGCAUGGAGCCGACCUUGAAAUACCACCCUUUAAUGUUUGAUGUUCUAACGUUGACCCGUAAUCCGGGUUGCGGACAGUGUCUGGUGGGUAGUUUGACUGGGGCGGUCUCCUCCUAAAGAGUAACGGAGGAGCACGAAGGUUGGCUAAUCCUGGUCGGACAUCAGGAGGUUAGUGCAAUGGCAUAAGCCAGCUUGACUGCGAGCGUGACGGCGCGAGCAGGUGCGAAAGCAGGUCAUAGUGAUCCGGUGGUUCUGAAUGGAAGGGCCAUCGCUCAACGGAUAAAAGGUACUCCGGGGAUAACAGGCUGAUACCGCCCAAGAGUUCAUAUCGACGGCGGUGUUUGGCACCUCGAUGUCGGCUCAUCACAUCCUGGGGCUGAAGUAGGUCCCAAGGGUAUGGCUGUUCGCCAUUUAAAGUGGUACGCGAGCUGGGUUUAGAACGUCGUGAGACAGUUCGGUCCCUAUCUGCCGUGGGCGCUGGAGAACUGAGGGGGGCUGCUCCUAGUACGAGAGGACCGGAGUGGACGCAUCACUGGUGUUCGGGUUGUCAUGCCAAUGGCACUGCCCGGUAGCUAAAUGCGGAAGAGAUAAGUGCUGAAAGCAUCUAAGCACGAAACUUGCCCCGAGAUGAGUUCUCCCUGACCCUUUAAGGGUCCUGAAGGAACGUUGAAGACGACGACGUUGAUAGGCCGGGUGUGUAAGCGCAGCGAUGCGUUGAGCUAACCGGUACUAAUGAACCGUGAGGCUUAACCUU
rnacentral:rRNA from 1 species